CUUCAACAUUUAUCAUUUAUAGACCCGGAGCGAGGGGGAUUCGGCGAAAUAUUUCCCGAAGUGAUGAUAUUUCCCGAGGGCGAAGCCCGAGGGAAAUAUCAUCACUUCGGGAAAUAUUUCGCCGAAUCCCCCGAGCGGAGGGUCUAUAAAUGAUAUAUUAUACCGAAAAAGGUAUUCUAUACCGAAAAAGGUAUUUAUUUCCUCGUCAGACUCUGUCAUUUUUGCCUUUCAAGCAAACAACAUUGUUCCCGCCAUUUUUUAGCCUUGCGUGUGGUCUCGCGUGAUGUUCGCGAAUCAUAUUCACCGGUGAAUUUGACUCAUAUUCACCGGUGAAUAUGACUGAAAUUUCCUGCUGCACCAAAUACGAAUGACGUAAGCGCGAUACGAUGAUAAAUUUCACGAUCACAUGGCACAAAUCUAGCUUUCUCAUUGGACAAUUUUAAUUUGAGGUAUAAUAUUUCUCUAUAUUUACAAACUUUAUACAUAUUUACCGAUAACGCUAUUCUGGGGAUUAAAAUUUUCUAAAAAUUUUAGUCGCCCAAGCCAAUGUGGAAAGUGUGUAUCGCAUUGGGGAAAUAUCGGCCGUGUAAUUGUGAUGCUUUCUAUAUAUUUACUAUUCAAUUUUCUAA